rnacentral:rRNA from 1 species
UCAGGUGGUUAUUGCGGUGAGGUCCCACCUCUUCCCAUUCCGAACAGAGAAGUUAAGCUCACUUGCGCCGAUGGUACUGCAAUGCAAUGCGGGAUAGUAGGUAGCCGCCUCCU